UUUUUAUUUAUUUAUUUGUUUGUUUGUUUGUUGAGACAGGGUUUUGCUCUGUUGCCCAGGCUGGAAUGCGGUGAUGCAAUCUUGGCUCACUGCAGCCUCCACCUUCCGGGUUCAAGUGAUCCUCCCACCUCAGCCUCCUGAGUGCCUGGGACUAUAGGCAUGCACCACUUACCCUGGCCUGAUUUUUAACAUUGCAAAAAAUUCAUGAUUGUACCAAGAUUUGUCCAAAACCCAACUGUUAGUCAUUUAUCCUUGCAUGCUAUUUUUUUUUUUUUACUGAUCUCUGAUUAUUUUCUUAGGAUACCCUCCUAGACGCAGAAUUACUUGGUCAUAGGAUAAGAACAUUUUCAAAGCCCUUAAUACAUAUUUGUUUUAGCUCCUAGUACUAGGUCUAUUACAUAGUAGGUACUUAGCAAAUAAUUGUUGAAUGAAUGUACGAAUGCCCUCCAGAAAGGUGGCGCCAAUUUAUACUCCCACCUGCAGUAAGAGAAAAGAGCCUUGUCUUGGUCAGUCCACAUCACAAUAGGAGUAAUGAUUAUAGCUGGAUUUUGGUUUCUGUGACUCUGGCAGAGAAAUAAUCUAUUUGCCUUAAAACAAAGAAAUGAAAGUAAAAAGUUGAAUCCUCCCUAAAUGACAUAUGGUUUUGCUUUAAUAGACUGCUGCUUUUAAACACACUGGCACAAAAGUGGAAUGGAGGGAGAGUUCUGAUUAUUUUAGGGCUGAAUCAUGAAGGUCCAGGAUUCCUUCUUCACAUCUCGCUCUAUUAGAUCUUGGCCCCUGGGACCAAUCUCAUGGCUACUUGACUCAACGGGGCUGCCCACCAAUCCCAAUAAGCUUGAGAUCUGGAGAAGGGACCCUUUAUGUAUGAUGUGGGCCUUUCCUGUGAUGUCAAAUUUUGGUGGUGGUGGUGGGAUUACCAAGGAACUUUGUUCCCUUAUCUGAAGUGUAGAAAUUUAGUGGAGGCAAAUUUAAGAGUUAGGAACCUUCCAUUCUGUCAACUGUAGGGGAAGGAGGAAACUAAUAUUGACUUUGUUUUGUUUUUUUUUUGUUUUUCCGGAGACGGUCUUGCUCUGUUACCCAGGCUGGAGUGAAGUGGCAUGAUCAUGGCUCACUGCGGCUUCAACCUCCUGUGCUCAAAAAACUCUCCCACCUCAGCCUCCUGAGUAGUUGGGACCACAGGUGUGAGCCAUCAUGCCCAGGUAUUUUUAAAAUUUUUUUGUAGAGACGGGGUCUCACCAUAUUGCCCAGGCUAAACUCCUGGACUCAAGCCAUCCACUCUCCUCAGCCUCCCAAAGUGCUGGAAUUACAAAGGUGAGCCAUCAUGCCUGACCACGGUUUGAGGUGUUUUUGUUUGUCUGUUUUUUUGUUUGUUUUUUGAGACAGAGUCUCACUCUGUCACCCAGGCUGGAGUGUAGUGGUAUGAUCUUGGCUCACUGCAACCUCCCCCUCCCGGGUUCAAGCAAUUCUCCUGCCUCAGCCUCCAGAGUAGCUGGGUCUACAGGCACGUGCCACCAUGCCCAGCUAAUUUUUAUAUUUUUAGUAGAGGGGGUUUUGCCAUGUUGGCCAGGCUGGUCUCAAAUUCCUGACCUCAGGUGAUCCACCCACCUUGGCUUCCCAAAGUGCUGGGAUUACAAGCGUGAGCGAUCAUGCCUGACCACCGUUUGAGUUUUUACUAUGUGCCAAGCCCCUUCCCAGUCUACUGCAUUCCUUGUAUUAACCUUUUCAUACAAAUAAUAUUAUCUCCACUUUGCAAAUUGGGGAGUUGGGACUCAGAGAGGUUGGGUAACUUAUUGAAGAUCACACAGCUGGUAAAUGCCAGAGCCAUGGAGAUGAUGGUCCUCCAAUUCUAAAUUUAACUCUUCACUAUCCUGGAAUGCUGCCCUAGGAGAGGGCAGUGUGGGUGAAAUUUCUAGGUGUAUAUGGAGAUGGGGGGGAUGAGGUGGUGCCAGGAUUAUGGCUUUGGGUUCAGGCAGACUGUGGGCAGAUUUAGGGCUGAGAAGUUGAUCCCAAGGUUCUCUGGCUUGGCUCUUGGUUUGAAGUUCUUCUAGUCCAUAUGGUGGGAUCAAAAACUCCCAAGUCUAAGGGAUGUGGUUGAGCCCGCAGUGGGGGCCAAGAGUAGAGGCUAGGGGUCUCUGGACCAUUUUAUAGGGUCUCCAGUUCUUAGAGCUUGGGUCUGAGGGUUCUGGGGCCCAAGACCUCCAAUUAUGGGGUCCAGCUCUUAGGUGUUCAGGCCUGAGGAGCCACGUUCAAGAGUCCCUGUGAAGUUUCAAUAGGAAGGGCUUGUUUCAGAAAGUCUCUGGGUUUGCAGGGCUCAGACUGGGGGUCCCAUCCUAAAGGCCCUUUUUCUGAGUUUUAGGGUCCUUGGGCCUGGGGGAUGAGAGAGAUCCAGUUCUGAGGGUUUCAAGAGGUACGGUCCCCGAAAAGCCCAGUUCUGAGAGGCCUGGUUUGGAAAUCUCGCCCUGAAGAUUCCUGGAUCCCAGGGCUCAGGACCAGGCGUCUCUGGAUCUGAGGAUCCUGGUAGUGAUGGCUUAGGGUGGUGUUCCCUGGUCCGAAGCCCGGAGCUAAGGGCACCGGGUCUGCGGUGCGGCUGCGAGGAGCAGGGAAGCGCAGGC
rnacentral:lncRNA from 1 species